rnacentral:rRNA from 1 species
UACGUAGGGUGCAAGCGUUGUCCGGAAUUAUUGGGCGUAAAGAGCUCGUAGGCGGCUUGUCGCGUCGGCUGUGAAAACUCGAGGCUCAACCUCGAGACGUCGGCGGAAACCAUCUGGCUAGAGUCCGGAAGAGGAGAGUGGAAUUCCUGGUGUAGCGGUGAAAUGCGCAGAUAUCAGGAAGAACACCCGUGGCGAAGGCGGCUCUCUGGGACGGUACUGACGCUGAGACGCGAAAGCGUGGGGAGCGAACAGG